GCGAGACUCUAAAGCGACGGUUAAGGGACAGGGGACGAGUGGAGCAAGUGGGCCUUAAUCUGAAAAUAACUUGAUUGUUUAAUGACAUUAAGAGAAAAAGAUUACGAGCUUUGAGAAGGAGGAAGCCUGGGAGUAACGACAGUUAAGGAGUUAGCUUGCGGAACCAACAUAAGAAUUUAUAACAGGGAGGUGUCGUUUGGGAUCAGACGCGUGGCCUGCAUUGCCGUAGCCACCGUGGUGUAAUGUUGCCACGUAAAAACCACAAAUCCCAGAAUUCAGUCGGGUGAUACACUGGCUCAGAAUGUGAUUGGCUGCGGGAACUAGUAGCUUCCUCAUUGGCUCCCGUGGAAGGAGUGAAUGCUGGGAUUUGCAGUCUGAUGGGGGAGCCGUGCUGGGUAAAAACCUUAGAAUCGUCGCGCACUCCGUUUCUGCCGCGGAUUCUUAUAUUCUCCAAUACAGGCUUUUUCUGUUAUGCAGUAUUUGCAGAGCAGGCUGCUGCAGUUUGGCCAGGCGCAUUGCGGAUCAGUUGGUGUUCUUGCCAGAGGCCUAGCAGCAGCUUCCUAGCGCUACUACUUGCACCUCCCAAGGCAGCUGAGCCUCCCCACUUCUCUGGCCAGACACACUCCUACCGUGCAUCGUAGAACCACCUCUCUGACGCCAGCAGGACCUUAGUAAGAGUAAUGGGUAUGCGACAGAUGGCUGUAGUCAGGCCCUACUGAUUUCAAAAUAGCUAAAAGACUAUCUCUGUAGUUAGCUUUUGUGGCCUUGAUGGACCUGCAGCUGUGUAUUGCUCCCUCAGACGUACAAAUUCGUGGAGAUGAGUUAUGAAAGUAUUUAGUAUCCAAGUUUUUCAUCUGCUUAAUAUUUGGGAUUUUAAACACAAGUUUUGCCAGCUAGGGGUCAACAUCCCUGAAAGUGUUAGGGAUGGAGCUAGCUGACAGGCCUUUCUAAAAGAACAGAGAGCCUGGUGAAGAGAUGAAAAAUCAAUCUCACUUGAUACUCCUGUUAAAAACAACAACAAACCUUUAAAUAGCUCUCUACUAACACAUAACUCAAAUCCGAUCAAAUCUACCUGACCUUUACCAUUGUUUUCUGUAUUCAUCAACUAUUACUGAGUACUUCAAAGUCAGGCAAUAGGAGUUAAUAAAACAGAUGAAACUUGGUUUAGCCUCAUAAUAUGUGUUUAAAUUUCACACAUACCUCUGAUCUGCUCUCAUGUAUCCUUCUACUUGAAUGUAUGUAAUAUAAAGGCC
rnacentral:lncRNA from 1 species